CUCCAAUGUGAGAUGUUCUUUUUAUUAAUGAAGGUGAAAUUAUAGCAGAGUGAUAGGCAACACACAAAUUGCCAGCACAAGUAUGAAUAUAAAACAAUCCAUAGGACAAGUACAGGCACAGAGAGCCCACCUCUCAACAGGAACCACAGGUGAUACCAGAGAGCCCUAUGAUAAAGCAGGACUCACCCAAAGCAAAAGGCCCAUCGGCUCCCACAGUUGAGACAGCAAAAGGCACAUCAGCUCUCUGAGCCCCUCUUCGUGAGUUCCAGCUAUGUGAAAAGAGCAUGGCAACAGGAGUAUUACUUGUGAGAUGGGACUUCCAAAUCCAGACUUCAGAGCAGGCCUAGAUCUGAAGCCACCACUGCAAAAUCUGGCACAAAAUGGCAGGAUAAGUUGGUAAAAGGCAAGUCUCUUCAGAGAUGUUUCAAUCAGGAACACUGAUUCCAGAUUUUAAAAGAACACACAUUUAAAUCAGCAAAAUCACAUUUCACAAGGAACUGGAUGUUACCAAAAAUGUCAAAGAGACCACCAAACAAAACAGUCUCCCUAGGCUUCUGCUCCCAUUUCAUCAAUAAUGGAGAUAAAAGAAUUUUGCCACAUAAGUUAGUUUUAUUAGAGGAUUUAAAAAAAAAAGGCUAAUGGCCUUAAAUGUUUUUGCUUUCCGUUGGGUUUUUAGCUCAGUAGAUUAAUUUCCCAAUGGCAAUGUCAUCAAUUAUUCUUACGGUGGCUUCUGCAUUUUUCCAAUGACACACAUUUACUAAUCAAAUGCUAUAUAUUUUUCCACUACAACUUAUCUUCACUGACUAAAAACUUUACAAACAUAGUUACAUGGCUGAAAUAGUAUAAGUUGUAGGGAGAUGUGCUACCACACGCCUGUAAUCCCAGCAUUCUGGGAGGCUGACACAGGAGGAUCAAAAAGUUCAAACUCAUCGCUUCUCGGCCUUUUGGCUGAGAUUAAGUGCAGAAAGUUCAAACUCAGCUUGGAUAACUUAGACCUUGUUCCUAAACAAAAUAGAAGCACUAGGGAUGUAGCUCUGUGCAAAGGUCCUGGGUUCAGUCUUCAAUAUGGGGUGGUAGUGGGCUAAACAACAACAACAACAAAAGAAGAAGUGGAAAGGAGGGCAUUUUGAUGAAAAAUCUGCUUGAUAAAUCUCUGCUCAAAAAUGACUCUAGCCGGUCACACCUGUUAUCCCAGCAUCUGGGAGGCUGAGGUAGGAGGAUCAUAGUUAGAGGUCAGCCUGGGCUACAUAGUGUGUUCAAGAUCAGCCUAAAUUUCACAGGCGAUCCUGUCUCAAAAAAAAGCUCUAGAAAAGCUGCUCACACUGGUACACAUCUGUUAUUCCCAGCAGAAGGAUCUUGAGUUUGAGACCCUACUUGAACUACUUCAAGUCCAAGACCAGCGUGAACUACCUAGUGACACCCUAUCUCAAGCAAAAAUCAAAACAAACCAAAAAGACCCUAGAAAAGUUAAAAGUCCUACUUGAGAUUAAUUCAGACAUCACUUGCUAAUCCUAAAGAAAGUCUUAUCACCAACAACAGAAGGGAGUCACACAGAUACAAGUGCUCUACAGCAGGCUCUUCCUUGCAUUCUUACUUGGUAGCAAUGCCAAUGCUGACCAUACAAACUUAACACUGUAGAAUUUAAGAUGCCAAAAUUUGUACCUUCCAGCUCUAUAUAAUGCAUCAAAAGUUUUAAAAUGCAGGGGGUAUUGUGGCAUAACCCUGUAAUCCCAGCACUCUGGGGGGCUGAGACAAAUUCAAGCCCAGCCUGAGAAAUUUAGAGACUUAGUAAAACCCUGUCUCAAAAUGUAAAUAAUAAAUAAAAAUAAAAAGCCUGGGACUGCAGUUUAGUGAAAAGGCUCUAAAUUUACUCCCCACUACUAUUUUUUAAAAAUUAAUUAAUGAGGGGCUGGGGAUUUAGCUCAGUGCUUCCAGUGCCUGCCGUGCAAGCACAAGGUCCUAAGUUUGAUCCCUGGUACAAAAAAAAAAAUUAAUUAAUUAAACCAAGUGUGGUGGCACACACCUAGAGACUGAAGCAGGAGGACUGCUGUGAGUUCAAGGCCAGCCUGUACUCCAACGCGACCCUGUCUCAAAAAAACAAAAAACAAAAGCAAGCAAACAUACAACAAAAAAACACAUAGCUUAUUCCAUUCUCCCCAGCAGGGUUUAAAACUUCAAAGUAAAAACAGCAGUCAUCUAUAACUAUGCAUGUUUAACUCUCUCACACAUUAUUUUGUAGGGCAAAAAGUUUUAUUAGGUUAGAAAACUUUGGAAUGUUACAAUCCAGAUGAUCUUGAGGUUAUGCUAGAUCUUAAGUCACUAGAAAGUAGUACUUUAAAAUAUAUAAAUGGGCUCCCAUUAUGAGAAAUAAAACUAUGAACAUGAUAAAAAAAUUUUUGCAAAUCAUGAGAGAAAAUAACACUGAAAACCAAUGAAGCACAGAUGAGGAUAAACCACAAAAGAUCCUAAAUAAGAUGCACUUAAAUUUCAUACUAAAUGAUUUGGUGACAUUCUUAACAAGAUUUGCAACCUAUGGGAAAAGCUAAACAUGUGCUGAACCACUUAUGUCUGUCAAAGUCCCCUCUUUUAGAGUCAAAAUAAAAAGUAUUCAGUAAAACACAAAAGCUAUACAAUAUUUCACUGUUAGAAUUUUUCAAAAAUCCACGUGUAAGAUACAUGCAGAUAAUGCUGAGAAAAGUUGUGCUUUUUUUUGGUACCAGGGAUCGAACUCAGGAUCCUGUGCUUACAAGGCAGGAGGCGGAACCACUGAGCCAAACCCCCAGCCCUUUUCUCUGGAUCAAAAUCGUCCUUCCUCUGGCAAAAAUUAUCCAGAGGCAACAUUUACUAGGAACUAUGCACUCUUAUUCUUUCCUGUUUCACUAUCCUACUGGCUUUUACAGACCUAAAUAACUUUUUCUGAACUGAAAGGCUCAUCCCACUGAGCCAAUGAAAUUCCAUCCUCUGCAGACCCAAGAUACACUGCAUGCAAGAGGAUCCUGGUUUCAAUUCUUGGCCCAUGGCCUUCCAACUGCACUACUGUCUCCUUCAUUUAUUUUGUUAAAGUCCAAAGUGGGGGGUGUGCUAGCCAAAGGACUCCCCUCUUUGUAUUUGUGGCCUUGGACUUAACUUUAGUAAUAAUCUACACUGCAAUCUGUGAACAACCCAUUAAGCACCCCACCCCCUCAGUACUAGGGAUUGAAUGCAGGGCCUUUGCACUGAACUGUAUUCCCAGCCCCCACUGCUUUUAUUAUUUAUUUUGUGGUUUUUUGUUUGUUUUUUGUUUGUUUUGGUACCGGAGAUUGAACUUGGGUCCUUGCGCUUGCGCAGCAGACAGCAAAACCACUGAGCUAAAUCCCCGGCCCUUAUUACUUAUUUUGAGUCAGAGUCUCACUACAUUGUCCAGGCUAGGUUCAAACUUGCAAUCUUCCUGCCUCAGACUUCCUGCCUCAGAGUGCUGGGAGUAUAGGCAGGUACCACCAUACACAUAAGGUUAAAUUUUAAAAGCUCAUCUCUAUUUCUACCAGGAACUAUCAAGAACCAUAGAGCUUGUUUUCAAACUUACCCUAAAGGACUGAAUCUCACCUAUCAAAAGCUUCCCACCUCUCAUUCCACCAAAACUAAAGUCACCACCAGAAGACAGAAUUACUCUUUCUCCUCUGCCUUAUACCUGUGCCCAGCGCCCAGCCUUACCAGCAAUUUACACAGAUUACAUAAAAGCACUGAAACAAAAUCUGGAAAAGUAAAGAGAGAAAUGUUUUCCCUUGCAGUGCUGGGGAUUGAGCCCAGGGCCUCAGGUAUGCUAAACAAGCUCUCUUUCACUGAGCUAUGACCCAGCCCUUUGGGAGACAUUUAUAAAAAGCAAAUAAGCCAAGAUAUUUUAUAGAAAUUCAAACUGCUGAUAGAUCAUUUUAUAAUUCUAUCUCUCUUUUUUUUUUUUAGUACCGGGGAUCAAACUCAGGUCCUUGUGCUUGUGAGGCAGGCGGCAGAACCACUGAGCUAAAUCCCCAGCCCAUAUAAUUCUAUCUCUUGAUGCUAGCUGCAGUUCUAGAAUUCAGUGGAUAACCUAGUUUGCUUUCAAAUAGUUAUAGGACAAAGAACUGGCUUCCCCCAUACUCAGAAACACAUUUAUGUGAAGACUCCUUCUACUUCACAUUCAGAACAUGACAGUUUCCAAUACCAUAAAUCCCCAACUGAUGAACGAGUUCUGUUCUGGGGCAACAUUCGUGUGGACUUGUAAAUAGUGACAAAGCGAGUCUUAUACUGUUCAUUUAUGUUUCCAUGGUUAUUACUUUGUGCUUCCUAGCAGGGCCCUCCAUAUCACCACUGCCUUUCUUCUUGCUUCUGGCCAUUCUGGACUCUGAGUGAGCACUAUACUACUGUACACUAUCUGACUGUACAGAAAGCACCCAGCAACACAACUGUGACAAUGUCUGGCAGAAAGGGAGCUACUUCCUCCUUUGGUUCACAUCUACAAAUAUUCGUAAUGUGAGGUCCAUUCAUAUCUGUGAAAGUUCACAACUCAAAUGUUCCUAAGUCAGGGGCUUACUGUAUAAAGAGUGAGAGUUAUUUAAACUUUAUGAAAAUAAAAAAGAUGUAAGGUAAAGAUUUAGGAAACCUGGCAAUCUGGCACUAAGGCCAGACUUGCUCACCCAGAUAACAACAUUAAUGAAGUACACAACUAUAACUAUAAUGGCAACAGAAAGUUUCUGUACUCCAAGGAAUAAGACAACUACUUUCCCAUUCAGAUUAAGCUGAAGAGGAAACAGACUAUCACAAAUUAUAGCUACGUAAAAUCUGUCUGAAGUCAUUUAGGUUAAUGGCACUAACUAUAAUCAAGUUCAACACACAAGUACAGAAUCCCUCCUUGGGCCUUUGGAGAGCUCUGCCUACUCAAGUUAUAUUUCUUUUUUUUUUUUUUUUCUUGCGGUACAGGGGAUGGAACUCAGGACCUUGUACUUGCCAGGCAGCCAUGGUGCCACUAAGCCACAUUCCCAGCCCUCAAG
rnacentral:lncRNA from 1 species